rnacentral:rRNA from 1 species
GAUGAACGCUGGCGGCGUGCCUAAUACAUGCAAGUCGAGCGAACGGACGAGAAGCUUGCUUCUCUGAUGUUAGCGGCGGACGGGUGAGUAACACGUGGAUAACCUACCUAUAAGACUGGGAUAACUUCGGGAAACCGGAGCUAAUACCGGAUAAUAUUUUGAACCGCAUGGUUCAAAAGUGAAAGACGGUCUUGCUGUCACUUAUAGAUGGAUCCGCGCUGCAUUAGCUAGUUGGUAAGGUAACGGCUUACCAAGGCAACGAUGCAUAGCCGACCUGAGAGGGUGAUCGGCCACACUGGAACUGAGACACGGUCCAGACUCCUACGGGAGGCAGCAGUAGGGAAUCUUCCGCAAUGGGCGAAAGCCUGACGGAGCAACGCCGCGUGAGUGAUGAAGGUCUUCGGAUCGUAAAACUCUGUUAUUAGGGAAGAACAUAUGUGUAAGUAACUGUGCACAUCUUGACGGUACCUAAUCAGAAAGCCACGGCUAACUACGUGCCAGCAGCCGCGGUAAUACGUAGGUGGCAAGCGUUAUCCGGAAUUAUUGGGCGUAAAGCGCGCGUAGCGGUUUUUUAAGUCUGAUGUGAAAGCCCACGGCUCAACCGUGGAGGGUCAUUGGAAACUGGAAAACUUGAGUGCAGAAGAGGAAAGUGGAAUUCCAUGUGUAGCGGUGAAAUGCGCAGAGAUAUGGAGGAACACCAGUGGCGAAGGCGACUUUCUGGUCUGUAACUGACGCUGAUGUGCGAAAGCGUGGGGAUCAAACAGGAUUAGAUACCCUGGUAGUCCACGCCGUAAACGAUGAGUGCUAAGUGUUAGGGGGUUUCCGCCCCUUAGUGCUGCAGCUAACGCAUUAAGCACUCCGCCUGGGGAGUACGACCGCAAGGUUGAAACUCAAAGGAAUUGACGGGGACCCGCACAAGCGGUGGAGCAUGUGGUUUAAUUCGAAGCAACGCGAAGAACCUUACCAAAUCUUGACAUCCUUUGACAACUCUAGAGAUAGAGCCUUCCCCUUCGGGGGACAGAGUGACAGGUGGUGCAUGGUUGUCGUCAGCUCGUGUCGUGAGAUGUUGGGUUAAGUCCCGCAACGAGCGCAACCCUUAAGCUUAGUUGCCAUCAUUAAGUUGGGCACUCUAAGUUGACUGCCGGUGACAAACCGGAGGAAGGUGGGGAUGACGUCAAAUCAUCAUGCCCCUUAUGAUUUGGGCUACACACGUGCUACAAUGGACAAUACAAAGGGCAGCGAAACCGCGAGGUCAAGCAAAUCCCAUAAAGUUGUUCUCAGUUCGGAUUGUAGUCUGCAACUCGACUACAUGAAGCUGGAAUCGCUAGUAAUCGUAGAUCAGCAUGCUACGGUGAAUACGUUCCCGGGUCU